CGUCGAAGCAGGAAAACAACAAUGGAGAAGGCCUGCUAUUGUGAACGACUUUCAUUUCAACUUUAUUGAUGGUUCUUUGCUGCUUGGUGCUACCGCGACAGUGAAUAGGAAUGACUUGCGGGAUGAAGUCUCAGAUGUAUGCUUUUAUGACUCAAGGUGAACUGUUGGUUCAAGGUAAUGAAUGAGUUCUUAUAUGUGCUUACUUAUGUCACAAACUAGUUUUGGCUGCAAAGUUAAAAGAGAAUGUUGAGUUUCAAAUGAACAUAAACUAAUCGAUGUUAACUUCUCACAUGACCACCAUUUUAUAUAUUACUGAAGAUACGUGUCAUAAAUUGUGUAUAUUGGCUCGUAAAAUAGGGCGUACACAGUGCACGAAGACCCCGUGUAUGCAGGGUCUGGGAAAGAAAACAGUGCACUAAGCUCUCGUCUUCAAGUGUGCAGCCUUACCCCUGCUAUGUGCGGUCUGAGAAAGAAAAUCAGUUUGGCUCGGUUAGGUAAUGCCGUGGAUAGUAUCCAGACCUCAGGAAGCAUGGCAAACAUGUAGUGUCCUGUAUCCAUCAUAUGUUGCCCAUGGAAGUCACAUGGUUUGCAAUAUUGCAAAAACAACUGUGAAAAAGGGAAACACUCAAGACAUAAACAUGAAUACAUAGGAAUUCAGUAGUGCUUGUAUCAUUAUCUGAUCUUAGCUUCAAACUUCUUAAUUUGGUACAUAGCUUCAAAGUAACACAAAAUUUUGAACUCAUUAGCAGAAUACCAUUGACUUAAACAAAGAAUUCCUUAUGUAGUGGAUUACCAUUCAUGGUUGAACUGAAUUGUACUUUCUUUUCUUCAUGAGCCAUUUCUUUCUUGUCUGGAAACCUUCAAAACUUAAAGACUGAAACUACUUGCAACUUGUGCUUGUACACAAGCAAUGAUUCCAUUAACUUUUUCUCCUUUCAAUCUUGCUUUACCUGAAUUCGAGAAAUGUUGCUUCCCAUGAGUUUCCUCUGGAUUCCAAGCAAUAAUUAUCAAAAUCAAACAAACAAAUUUUUGAAAGGGAAUGUUAAUAGGAUAAAAAUUAUAAGCAUGGUGACAAUUGAGCUUCG